GGGGGUAUAGCUCAGUGGUAAAGCAUUCGACUGUAGUUCGGGAGGUCUCCGAUUCAAACCCGGGUGCCCCCA